GAGAUAGAGAGAGAAAAAAAAGAGAGGGAGAGAGAAAGAAUUCCAUCAUUCUGAAUCAUAUCAUAAUGGUUCAAUCAGACUUUUUUUUCUUUUAUGGAACUACAUUAUUACUCUUUCUACUGAUA
rnacentral:ribozyme from 1 species